GAUCAAUUAAGAAACUUCAUAUAUAUUGUUGAAAACAAACCAAAACAAGGAACAUUAUCCUUUCAAAGUCUGCGGAAAAUAUCCCUCAAGAACAGAAGUCAAAAUUUAGAAUACUAACAUUUCAUAAUAAAGAAAACUACUAGAACAAAACAACAGAGCACAUAACAUCUAACGAAUCAAGCCUCAACCCUCUCAGGUGCUGCCUCUUCGGUGGCGUAGACAAUAACCUUAUUGGCAGGUUUUGCCAAGAUAUCAAAGUACUCUUGGAAUGGAGAUUUGGUGAAGCGAGUCUCUUUCCAGAAAUCUGGGGUCAGGAACCCGUAGGUCUUCAUUAAACAAUCAAAUGUCGCCUUAACGAAGUUUCCAAGGGUUUUGGUGGAUCCACGAGAAGAUGUGAAGACAUCUUCAAUACCAGCAAACUGAAGAACCUUCUUAGGGACACGAGCAGCAACAAUACCAGCACCACGAGGAGCAGGCACCAUCCUCACAGUAACAGACCCACAUUUCCCUGUAACCUUGCAAGGCACAGUGUGUGGCUUCCCAAUCUUGUUACCCCAGUAACCUCUCCUCACUGGAAUCACUGAUAGCUUAGCCAAUAUAAUUCCUCCACGAAUAGCAGUAGCUACUUCCUUUGAGCACUUAACACCCAGACCAACGUGGCCAUUACCGUCACCUACAACAACAAACGCCUUAAACCUGGUUCUCUGCCCGGCACGGGUCUGCUUCUGAACCGGCAUGAUUUUCAUCACCUCAUCCUUGAGAGAUGGUCCGAUAAGAGUAUCAAUGAUUUGAAACUCCUUGAUUGGGAGUGAGUGAAGGUAGAUUUGCUCAAGUGACCUGAUUUUGCCAUCCUUCACGAGCCUUCCUAGCUUUGUCACUGGAACCCAUUUCUCCUCCUCUGUUUCACGGCGUGGACGACGGCCGCCACGGCCUCUUCCACCGCGGUCUCCACCUCUACCACCACGGCCUCCAAAUCCACGACCGAACCCACCUCUCUCCCCUCCUCCUCUUUCCGCCAUGAUUGUAGGUAUAAGGUAUGCAGCUAGGGUUUACAGAGUGUGUGUAUGUG
rnacentral:misc_RNA from 1 species